AGCGCGGCAUAGCAUGGCAACAUACAUUGAACUCGAAAUGAAGCCAAAAUAAAGAAACUAAAACUCUUGUGUUAACAAUGUGUAACUGUAGGUACAAAUGAACAUAAUUUAUUGCAAUAAAAAUGUGGGCGAAAUAUUUAAGAUAUAAUAAUGGAUUAGUAAUAACAAUAAUUAUUUAUUUUCGUGAUAAUAACAUUGAAAGUGGAUUAUGAAUGUGCAGCUUUAAAUAAUAUUUAUUGAUUACAACAUUUUAAGUCAAAAAGAGUCUAUGAUUAGUUGAAAAAAAGAUUAAAGAAAAAUCUGAAGAAAUGGAGCAACAAAAUGAUUGUUCGAUUCAGAGAGGACAACCACUGCGUCGCUAUCAAAAUGACUAUAAAGCAGAAGGACACUCGUCCACUUUAAAUAAAACAAUGACGAAUCAGCCACAGUAUUCGAACACAGGAAGACCUACAGUACGCAUAGCCGUUUAUUUAAUGACAGGGGUAUUUCUAACAAUGGAAGUUGAACAAAACGCGAAUGCACAACAGAUUUUCACGAUAGUGCAGUCAGAAGCGGAACUAGGUCUUUCGAGAUUCUCUUUAACAACCACUACGCCAAUUUUUGCACUGUGGAUGUGUUGCUCGCAACUGGAAGUUCAACUACGUCCGACACACAAACCCGUGGAAUUGGCUGCGAAAUGGAAUUACCUCGUGAACAAGUACAGCUCGCAUUCAGAAGACUACGACGACGAGGAACCACUAUUAUAUUUUCGUAGAAAUAUAUUUCUCUCCAAAUCGGAGGAGGAACAGAUCAAGGACACCAAGGUCCUUGAAUUGCUUUAUGCAGAAGCCAAAUUCAAUGUUCUGCAAGGACGGUACGCGUGCGAUGGUCCUGCACGUUAUGCCAGUUUAGGAGCGUUACAAGCCCGAAUCGAAUUAGGGCCUUAUAAUGCGCAAACCCACACCUUGACAUUUUUUCACAAACAUCGCGGCCGAUUUUUACCGCAUCAUUACGCUUCUCCCAGUCUUCUACUAGGAUUGGGACUCGGCUUGGGACUGGUGGGCGGCAAGGGAGCACCCGAGGCGCAUCUUCUGGAACAAUAUAAGCGAAUACCCAAUCAUAAUGGUAGCGCCAACGCAAAUCCCAAGAAAUUGAUCAGAAAGUAUCUCGAGUUCUGUUGGAACUUACCAUGCUAUGGCGCGGCCUUCUUUCAAGGGCAAAUCGAGCGACCUGUUAGAGGACUCGCGUCAUGGAUCACUAAUCGCGAUAUGCAUGUUCUCGUCGCAAUCAAUACGUCGGGAGUGUACAUAGUCGACGAUAUGCAGUGCAGCUUGCUAUUAGGGCUAAAAUACUCGGAAUUAAGCUGGGAAAUGGCGAAACCCUCGGAUGAAAAUAAUCCGGAUUGUCUGCCUUGUUUGUUUCUGCAAUUUCCGGUACGGGAAAACGGAGCGCGCGUCUACAAAAUUCUACAGGUGUUCUCAAGACAAGCACCAAUGAUGGAUACUUUAAUAUCCGGCUUUGCGGAAGACUAUCGCCGUCAAUUUAUCAAUAGCGAUAGCAGCAACGACCAGUUGGAUCAUCCGCUAGUUUUUCCCAGUGGAAGCUUUACAAAUAAACUUAGUAAAUUCACACUGGCCACUUUUGACGACGAAGGUCGAUGUAUCGGUCAAAUGGGUUCGUGGUCCUUUCGAUAAAUACAUUGUGAUUGUACAUUUUGUGAUGCCAAUAUACUCCUUAAUGAUAUAAAAAAGAUACUUGAAGAUAUGGAUUUUGUUGUAAACGAUCUACCAGUAUCCUGUAUCUCUGCGGCACUACGUCUCUGUACCGACUUAGAUACGUUUCCAGCACGUGUACAUUGAAGCUUAUCUCGUUUAUCUUGGCCAACAUCUCUUCCUCUUCCGCUUUCGAUAAAUCGACAGACUGCAUGUAAAUAUUAUUUAUAAUUAUUAUAUAAAAAUAUAAUAAAUGCAGAGAAAAUAAUUUUGAUA
rnacentral:misc_RNA from 1 species